rnacentral:rRNA from 1 species
UGCCAGCAGUCGCGGUUACACCAAGGAAUUAAGUCAUAUAUUUAUGGUAAAAAGAUAGUUAGAUAUUAGAUAUAACUUUGGGUUGAUUUAAUGCUUUGUAUAGAGGUAAAAUUCAAGUGCGACUGUAUGAUCUAUUAAUUGCCCUUAAAUUGAAUCUGUGAAAUCCUUAAGGGAAACUAGGAUUAGGUACCCUAUUAUUUUUGGAUGUAAAUUGAAUAAAAUUUACCAGAGUACUAUGAAUAUUAAGAAUUUAAAACUCAAAGGACUUGGCGGUGCUUUAGACCACUCAGGGGAACCUGUCUCAUAAUCGAUAAUCCACGUUAUACCUGACCUUUCUUUGUUUUCAGUUUGUAUACCGUUGUCGUCAGGUAACUUUUUAGAAAUUAGAAGUUAGCAUGAGAAAUAUAAUAACUUAGCACGUCAAAUCAAGGUGCAGCUAAUAGAAAGGGGAGGAUGGGUUACAAUUAUAUAAUUUAUAAUGUACGGAUAAGUGUAUGGAUAUAUAUUGGUUCAAGGUGGACUUGAAAGUAAAUUGCAUUAUAUAAAUAAUUUGAAUAAGGCUCUGAAACGUGUACACAUCGCCCGUCACUCUA